AAAAAGAUAAACCUUGGUUUCCGUGCCCAAUGUUUAACCGUCCGUCUUAUUUGAAAAAUUUUUGAAGAAAAUAAAAGGACAAGUCACGCAUAAAAUAUUAAUCAUGUUUUAUCAUCUAACAACAAUGAAAAUACGAAUUAUAAAAAAAUUUCAUAUAAGACGGACAGUCAAAGUUGGACACGCAAACCCAGGGUUUGCCUUUUU
rnacentral:pre_miRNA from 1 species